GCCCAGUGAACUAUUUCAACGGCCGCGGUAUUCUAACCGUGCAAAGGUAGCGUAAUCACUUGUCUUCUAAAUAAAGACCAGUAUGAAUGGCUAAAUGAGGGCAAACCUGUCUCCUGCGCCCAAUCAGUGAAACUGAUCUUCUGGUACAAAAGCCAGAAUAAUAACAUAAGACGAGAAGACCCUGUGGAGCUUGAAACUUAUGCCUACAUAAACCUAGGCCAAGUUUUAAGUUGGGGCGACUUCGGAAUAAAACAACACUUCCGAGCAAGGGACUAUCAGUCUCCAAAUAAGGCCCACAAGCCGACUAGCCGACCCAGUCAUACUGAUCAACGAACCAAGUUACCCCAGGGAUAACAGCGCAAUCCCCCUCAAGAGUCCCUAUCGACAGGGGGGUUUACGACCUCGAUGUUGGAUCAGGACACCCAAAUGGUGCAGCAGCUAUUAAAGGUUCGUUUGUUCAACGAUUAACAGUCCUACGUGAUCUG
rnacentral:rRNA from 1 species